rnacentral:rRNA from 1 species
ACAUGCAAGUCGAGCGAACGGACGAGAAGCUUGCUUCUCUGAUGUUAGCGGCGGACGGGUGAGUAACACGUGGAUAACCUACCUAUAAGACUGGGAUAACUUCGGGAAACCGGAGCUAAUACCGGAUAAUAUUUUGAACCGCAUGGUUCAAAAGUGAAAGACGGUCUUGCUGUCACUUAUAGAUGGAUCCGCGCUGCAUUAGCUAGUUGGUAAGGUAACGGCUUACCAAGGCAACGAUGCAUAGCCGACCUGAGAGGGUGAUCGGCCACACUGGAACUGAGACACGGUCCAGACUCCUACGGGAGGCAGCAGUAGGGAAUCUUCCGCAAUGGGCGAAAGCCUGACGGAGCAACGCCGCGUGAGUGAUGAAGGUCUUCGGAUCGUAAAACUCUGUUAUUAGGGAAGAACAUAUGUGUAAGUAACUGUGCACAUCUUGACGGUACCUAAUCAGAAAGCCACGGCUAACUACGUGCCAGCAGCCGCGGUAAUACGUAGGUGGCAAGCGUCAUCCGGAAUUAUUGGGCGUAAAGCGCGCGUAGGCGGUUUUUUAAGUCUGAUGUGAAAGCCCACGGCUCAACCGUGGAGGGUCAUUGGAAACUGGAAAACUUGAGUGCAGAAGAGGAAAGUGGAAUUCCAUGUGUAGCGGUGAAAUGCGCAGAGAUAUGGAGGAACACCAGUGGCGAAGGCGACUUUCUGGUCUGUAACUGACGCUGAUGUGCGAAAGCGUGGGGAUCAAACAGGAUUAGAUACCCUGGUAGUCCACGCCGUAAACGAUGAGUGCUAAGUGUUAGGGGGUUUCCGCCCCUUAGUGCUGCAGCUAACGCAUUAAGCACUCCGCCUGGGGAGUACGACCGCAAGGUUGAAACUCAAAGGAAUUGACGGGGACCCGCACAAGCGGUGGAGCAUGUGGUUUAAUUCGAAGCAACGCGAAGAACCUUACCAAAUCUUGACAUCCUUUGACAACUCUAGAGAUAGAGCCUUCCCCUUCGGGGGACAAAGUGACAGGUGGUGCAUGGUUGUCGUCAGCUCGUGUCGUGAGAUGUUGGGUUAAGUCCCGCAACGAGCGCAACCCUUAAGCUUAGUUGCCAUCAUUAAGUUGGGCACUCUAAGUUGACUGCCGGUGACAAACCGGAGGAAGGUGGGGAUGACGUCAAAUCAUCAUGCCCCUUAUGAUUUGGGCUACACACGUGCUACAAUGGACAAUACAAAGGGCAGCGAAACCGCGAGGUCAAGCAAAUCCCAUAAAGUUGUUCUCAGUUCGGAUUGUAGUCUGCAACUCGACUACAUGAAGCUGGAAUCGCUAGUAAUCGUAGAUCAGCAUGCUACGGUGAAUACGUUCCCGGGUCU